UGCUUUUUCAGCUCCAGGUCCUCUGUGUUCCCCAGGUGUGACCGUCUCGUGCCCCUUGGUGAAAUGUCGACAAUCCUGAAAUGGUUUGGACGGGAGGAUAAGGAGAAAGAGGAGGACAGGAAAGAGAAGGAAGAGAAGGAGAAGGAAAAGACUGAGGGAGAAAAGGAGAAGGAGAAGCAGAAGAGGAGGAAGAAGGAAGAAGAAAAGGUAGGGGAAUGAUGGAGUUUUCUGCAGAACCAUUGACAUCCUGGCUGUAAGAGGAAGCCACAUCUGAGCCAUGGCAAACCUGUAACAGAUGGAGCUGUGCUGCCCACAGCCUAGAAAUCCCAGUGUCCAUGGCUUUUCCACAAUUUGCUCCCAGCAUUCCUACUUAGAUCUCCCU
rnacentral:lncRNA from 1 species